rnacentral:ncRNA from 16 species
CCUUUAGCUCAGUUGGUAGAGCGCAGGUCUCAUAAUCCUGAGGUCAUGAGUUCGAUCCUCAUAGGG